GCGCGACUUCCCUGGCCCUCCCCCUGCGGACCAGUGAACCUCGCCCGAGGGCUCAAUAAAGAAGAUUUUUGCCCUCUUUUUCUCACCUCUCAGCCUUAUUGAUCCAUGGUGCCCUUCCAUUGCCUUUCAUUGGUGCCGAAACCCGGGAGGGGACACCUCCUAAGCCCCCCCAGAGGCUCAGGGGGACUCCCCUCCUGGUCGGAUCAGUCCUCUCCCUCAGUCAGGUCAGGCUUCUCCUCCACGGCCAUCUGUCCAUUUCGUCCGGUUACUUGCUGCCAGGUCGCAGUUGCUGCAGCUACUCCAGUCCAAUUCGGCCGACGCUAGUGCCAUACCAGUCCACUGCAUCUACAACUCCUAACACAUUCGCUGCGGGCAGUGAUAUCCACUAAUCCUGGAUGAGGCAGCGGAGGGCCCCCAAACCCCUAUCCAGGACUUAGUAAAGCUGGCGUUCAAAGUUUUUAAUUCCUGAGAGGAGGCGGCUGAGGUACAACGACAGGCAAGCCUGAAACAAAAAGUUCAGCUCCAAACCCAAGCCCUGGCAGCUGCCCUGCAACCGGCAUUCCCUAAGAGCCGCGGCAGGAGAGGUAGAGGUACAAUCUCCCGGGCCCCGUCUGGCGUCUGCUUCAAGUGAGGCAACUCAGGACACUGGGCCAGCCGGUGCCCUAGCCAACAGCAACCGUCCUGCCCGCCUUGCAACUGUUUCAAGUGUGGCAAUCCAGGUCAUUGGGCAAAACAGUGCCCAAACCCCAAGCCGCCAACACACCCGUGCCCUAACUGCCAACAAAUGGAGCACUGGAGGUCAGACUGCCCCAGCCUCGGAGCGGCCGCUGUGGCUCCACAUGGCGACCCCUCCCUGGAUGGCGAAGGUGCCCUCUAGCUCCUCCAACUGGAUGACGACUGAAGAGGCCCAGGCUCGGGAACCCCUCUCACCCUUGCCGAGCCCAGGGUAAUGCUUCAGGUAGCGGAUCAACUGAGAUGCAAAACCCAUGUUCACAUCAUGAGUGAGUCUUCUAACUCGGACAAUGCAAUCAACAAAUUCUAAGACCAAAUUCCGGUGGCACUGGCUCCAAAGCUCCUGAGUGUGGAAGGAGGUGAACAGGGAAAAGCAGAGAGGACAAAAGUCACAUCCCCUCCCCACAGACCCAUACUGGGGAAGGGUGGAAGAUUUAGCUGCGAGUCAAGUUCAGAAUUUUGAUUAACAUCUUGGCAUGCACAUUCGAAUUUCAGAAUCAAGACUGUUGGCCAUAAAAAAUGACUAUAGCCUUGUGUAUUACCUGAACUGAGCAGUAAAAAAAAAGUCAUGGUCCUUCUGGGGCUUUUAUUCUGAGACAGGAACCCUGAACAGGCAGGAGAAAGGGAAUGUUGACAGAGAAACAAAGACAGUUGGCGACACACGCUGACCGCCAUGCGGACGUCCAUCAAACCCAGCACUGGCCCUGGGUACGUGCGCCUUUGCUAUUACCCCAAUACAUUUUCUUCUGCAGAGCAAGCAACAGAACACAUGCAGACCUUAAUAAAUACCACUGGGUAAUGUGACAAUGGCCAAACUCUCCUCACGGGGGAGAGAGUGUCCCCCAGUUUUGCUCCCUUUUAAUUUCCAGGGUUCAUAAGUAGCUCUAAAGCUUUGCUCUACAAGGUUGAUACAUACGAUAUUAAUGUUUCCCCUAAGCAGUAUAACAUAAAUAUAUUUGCUAUCUUGACA
ensembl:lncRNA LINC01287 long intergenic non-protein coding RNA 1287